rnacentral:rRNA from 1 species
AANCCACCAGGGAUGCCUCGUAUACCGGCGAGUGAAGCGGCAAAAGCUCAAAUUUGAAAUCCUCCGGGAAUUGUAAUUUGAAGGUGGGGUUGAAUAGGUCUACAUACUUUAAGUCCAUUGGAAAAUGGCGCCAUGGAGGGUGAUAGCCCCGUAAAAGUAUCCAAACCUUCUUUUCUUCCCCUCCUAAGAGUCGAGUUGUUUGGGAAUGCAGCUCUAAGUGGGUGGUAAAUUCCAUCUAAAGCUAAAUAUUGGCGAGAGACCGAUAGCGAACAAGUACAGUGAUGGAAAGAUGAAAAGCACUUUGAAAAGAGAGUGAAAAAGUACGUGAAAUUGUUGAAAGGGAAGGGCUUGCAAGCAGACACAACCUCGGUUGGGCCAGCAUCGGAGUGGGGGGAGACAAAAACGGUUAGGAAUGUAGCUCCCUUANANNAUUAUAUCCUAGCCCUAUAUCUCCA